GCCAGGCAUGGUGGCUCAUGCCUGUAAUCCAAGCACUUUGGGAGGCCGAGGCGGGAGGAUCACUUGAAGUCAGGAAUUCAAGACCAGCCUGGCUAACAUGGUGAAACCCCGCCUCUA
rnacentral:SRP_RNA from 1 species